UGUUACUGAAAGCUGACAAAAUAACUGGACUUCUACCGGAAAGAAAUAAUUAAUUCUUUCCCCAAAGCAGAGAUUGUUGUUAACUAUUCCAGAACGGUAACUGUUAAAGCAUCCACUCUCAGAGAUACUCUAAUGAAGACAGAAGGUUUAUAUAGGCUUGGCUAGUCCCCAUGGUAACAGCCUUUCUACUGGGUUACCAUAGGAAUCGUCAAAGCCUUUGUAAGCCUCCCUUAAUAGAGCAUAUACGCUUUCCAGGCAGACUGGAAUAUCUGUUAGAGGAUACACCUCCUGUUGUUAAAUAUAAAUAUAAACAGAUUUUGUUUUGGAGUGGUACUCAUCUCUGUUUAACUAGCUACGCUACUCUUUACGUUAGAGUUAUAUUAAACAUUGGAGUCACCUGUGAUACAGGAAAACAUGUGAGAACUGAAUGGUUUUACGAACAAGACAACCCAUAUAUGUUUGUACCUAGACUGCAGGGAACUGCAGGCAAAAAUACUGUUCUAUACAGUAGCCCAAACCUCAUAGUACAUUACCCUUUCACCUUCCUGUGGACAUUGCAGAGCUUUAGUCAGUCUGAAGCCUUGCUGGACUGAAGUUAUACAACAGGAAACAAGCAAGAAAUGGAGCCAAAGGAAACAAACAGAAACCUCAGCUGAAUGAAACAAGCAGAAAGCAAGCCAGUGAGUGACUUCAGCACUGUAAAAGUUCCUGCUCCUGAUAGCAAUUGCAGGAGUAUCAGCACCAGCAGUGGCUAGAGCAACAGACAGAGUUAUCAUUCCUUGUCAUCACUUGGGUAAAUCAAGAAGCCCUCCUCAAACAUACCAAAGGCUGUUGUUUCUUGUCAGUUGCAUGGCAUGCAGUGUUGCAGCAUGAAGCCAUUUGUCCUGAUUGCUCAGUUGGUCUCCAAAAUGAAAUAACAGAUUAUGAAAUGAUGCAGAAAACCUGCCUGUAGCUGGUACCUUGCUAUUAUUUUCACUUCUUCAGCAGUAAGGACUGUGCCACACCUUUAAGUAUUUCAUUUCAUUUAUACCAUGGUUGACUGGUGAUCAUUGGGCUCUUGCCAUCAUUUGAGUGGUUUAACUAAAAAAUUUCAUCCUAA